AGAGUUUGAUCCUGGCUCAGGACGAACGCUGGCGGCACGCUUAACACAUGCAAGUCGAACGAGAGAAGAGGAGCUUGCUUUUCUGAUCUAGUGGCGGACGGGUGAGUAACACGUGAGCAAUCUGCCUUUCAGAGGGGGAUACCGAUUGGAAACGAUCGUUAAUACCGCAUAACAUAAUUGAACCGCAUGAUUUGAUUAUCAAAGAUUUAUCGCUGAAAGAUGAGCUCGCGUCUGAUUAGCUAGUUGGUAAGGUAACGGCUUACCAAGGCGACGAUCAGUAGCCGGACUGAGAGGUUGAUCGGCCACAUUGGGACUGAGACACGGCCCAGACUCCUACGGGAGGCAGCAGUGGGGAAUAUUGCACAACGGAGGAAACUCUGAUGCAGCUAUGCCGCGUGAGGGAAGAAGGUUUUAGGAUUGUAAACCUCUGUCUUCAGGGACGAAAAAAGACGGUACCUGAGGAGGAAGCUCCGGCUAACUACGUGCCAGCAGCCGCGGUAAUACGUAGGGAGCGAGCGUUGUCCGGAAUUACUGGGUGUAUAGGGAGCGUAGGCGGGAUCGCAAGUCAGAUGUGAAAACUAUGGGCUUAACCCAUAAACUGCAUUUGAAACUGUGGUUCUUGAGUGAAGUAGAGGUAAGCGGAAUUCCUAGUGUAGCGGUGAAAUGCGUAGAUAUUAGGAGGAACAUCAGUGGCGAAGGCGGCUUACUGGGCUUUAACUGACGCUGAGGCUCGAAAGCGUGGGGAGCAAACAGGAUUAGAUACCCUGGUAGUCCACGCCGUAAACGAUGAUUACUAGGUGUGGGGGGACUGACCCCUUCCGUGCCGCAGCAAACGCAAUAAGUAAUCCACCUGGGGAGUACGACCGCAAGGUUGAAACUCAAAGGAAUUGACGGGGGCCCGCACAAGCAGUGGAGUAUGUGGAUUAAUUCGAAGCAACGCGAAGAACCUUACCAGGUCUUGACAUCGUAUGCAUAGCUCAGAGAUGAGUGAAAUCUCUUCGGAGACAUAUAGACAGGUGGUGCAUGGUUGUCGUCAGCUCGUGUCGUGAGAUGUUGGGUUAAGUCCCGCAACGAGCGCAACCCUUACUGUUAGUUGCUACGCAAGAGCACUCUAGCAGGACUGCCGUUGACAAAACGGAGGAAGGUGGGGAUGACGUCAAAUCAUCAUGCCCCUUAUGACCUGGGCCUCACACGUACUACAAUGGCUGUCAACAGAGGGAAGCAAAGCCGCGAGGUGGAGCGAACCCCUAAAAGCAGUCUUAGUUCGGAUUGUAGGCUGCAACCCGCCUACAUGAAGUCGGAAUUGCUAGUAAUCGCAGAUCAGCAUGCUGCGGUGAAUACGUUCCCGGGCCUUGUACACACCGCCCGUCACGCCAUGGGAGUCGGUAACACCUGAAGCCUGUAGUCUAACCGCAAGGAGGACGCAGUCGAAGGUGGGAUUGAUGACUGGGGUGAAGUCGUAACAAGGUA
rnacentral:rRNA from 1 species